rnacentral:lncRNA from 1 species
CCCAGCCAGCCGCGUGUUUAUUCUGGGGCGAGCGCUGAAGGGCCUGUUGUCUGAAGCUUUGGCGGCGUGGGCACCGAUCGGACAUCUUCCGAGGUCUCACCGGGAGGCUGAGCCACACUGCGGCCGUGUGGACAGAGGAUGCACAGAGGAAACCCUCCGAAUCGGGGGAGGGGACGCUGGGCACCUGGCACCCUGCGUGCGUGGGGGGUGGGAUGCAGGAGGGAGGGAGGGAGGCAGCUGUAUUCAUGUUCUUUGCUGUGUCCCCCAAAGAAGGAGCGGGCUCCUGUUCCCACGUGGCCAACAGCCGCGAGAGCAGUUGGCCAGAUGGCCCUGAAGGUUCUGGCGGAGCGAGGCCAGGGCAGAUGUGGGCUGAAGGCGGCUGGGGCCUGGUCGGCCGGGGCUGGAUUACGAAGGGAGGCGGCGUCUGUGUCCCCACCCCUUUGAAUCUGGGCUGGACAUGCGACUUGUUUUGACCAGCAGGGGCUGGCGGAAGUGACACAAUGCUGGGGGAGAGGUCUUAAGAGUCUUUCCCGCUUCCUGUCCUCUUGGGAUGCUCCCUUGAGACCGUCAUGCAAGGAAGCCCGUCUAGCCAGCUGGAAGGUGGAAGGCCACACGGAGGAGACGUAAGCCAGGGCCAGCCACCUGUCAGACCCGUGAGUGAGGCCGUCUUGGACUUUCCAGCCCAGCAGAUUGUUGCCUGGAAGCACUUGACUGAACCCAAGGGACCCCGGCAGGGGAACCUCUGAGCCUACCCACAAAAGCAUGAGAAAUUGGUUAUUUUCAAGCACUAAGUGCAGGGAGUGGUCUGUUCCACAGGUGUAGACAACUGACACGGGUGGAUAGACAUUACCUCGGACCAGUGCUGUCCAAGAGCACAUCUCAGCUCCAGGGAGACACAGCUCAAGUGCUCCGGCGUCACGUGCGGCUUGUGGCCCCCAUAUCGGAAACACAGCUUCCCAUGUGGAAGAGGCAGGAUGACAAGGUAGGGGUCUCUGAGGAGCUCAGACAGGAAGAGAUAAGGUCUGAGCUGGUGUCCACUGGAGUGGAGUGAAGGUGACUGCUUCCAGUGACAUCCCGGAGCUGGAAGUUGAUGGCUAUAGUGGGGUGAAUGGUGGCUCCCCAAAAGAAAUGUCUACCGAGAAGCUGUGAAUGCGACCUUAUCUGGAAAAAGGAUCUUUGCAGAUGUGAUUAAGUUAAGCGCCUAGAGAUGCAGUGAUUGAGUUAUCUGGAUGGGCCCUAAAUCCAAUGACAAGUGUCCUUAGGAGAAGAGGACACACAGAGGGAGACAGAGCCACAGAGGGAAGGGCCAUGUGGAGACGGAGGCAGAAACUGGAGCGAUGUGGCCACGAGCCGAGGAAGGUCCCGGGCCCCUAGCACUGGAGGAAGCCCCCCAGAGCCUUCAGACGGAGCACAGCCCUGCUGACACCUCGACCUUGGCCUUGCAGCCUCCAGAACCACGAGAGAAGACAUUUCCGUGGUCAGAGCCACCACUAUGGUCAUUUGUUACAGCAGCCCCUGCAAAACUCAUACACGGGCCUCCCAGAUACGGGUCAGCAGGCUCCCCGACUUCAGGGGGACAAGUGGGUGGAUGGCAACAGCACGAGCUGGAACAGCAGCUGCGGGGCUGAGCAGCUCCGAGGGAGGGUGAAGACGCACAGCUUGCCUGUGGAAGUGAAAACAGCUAACGCUUAGCAGACUUGCCGUAUGCCAGGCACUAUGUUAAAUGCUUUAAUCUCAUUAGCUCCAUUCAUCCUCUCAACGCCUGUGAGGCAGACACCACUCUAAUCUCCAUUAUACAGAUAAAGAAACUGAGGCACAGACAGGAUACCUCGCCCAAGGUCACACGUCUGGUAAACGGAGGAACCCACAUGCAAACCUCGACUGUCUGACCAUUGCAAUGUUUCUCUCAAACGCGUUGAGUCUCAGUAGAGACGAGCAGGGGACAGGCACUGAGCAGCGGCCACGGAGAGGGAGGAAGGACUGAGCGAGGACCAAGCAGAUCCUGGCUCACCUUUGGGCUGCCUGCGGUAAAGGGCAAUUUUAUCCACAUUCACAUUAGAAUAUUUUAGGUGGAUUAACUGUCCAUCGACUUCCCCGCGUCCACCUGCACAGAAGUCACGGCUGAAUGACCGGAAGCAGCACAGGCCUCAGACAGCAUUGCCGGCCGCCGGCAGAAAGCAGCCCAGUCGGCCCCCAAGUUGCCAGCGAGCCUGCAUUUUCCAUUUCCAAAAUGCAGCCUGCUCCCCGGCUUUGUCCCUCCAGGAAAUCCUGUUUGUGCUAUUUUGGGAAAAUUGAUGGCUUUUUUUUCUGGGCUUUCCAGAAGCCUGACAGAUGGUCCCAGAUUUGCACACUGUGUUUCCAGGGUGGCGCCCGAGACACUCUCUCGAUGAUUCUUUCUACUGUGUCAGGCGUUUCAACCAAAUGUGUUGCUUCAACAAAUAUUUAUUGAAAGCCUGCUGUAUGUAAAGUUCUGUGCUCGAUGCUGGGAGAUGAAUCAGAAGGUACUUAUUGAACAUUUAUUAUGCUCUGGGGCAUGUGGGAGGUCCAGUGCCAUCCCCAGAGGGGCUGGGGGCCCUGGAACGGAGCACAUUUACGAGGAGCCUCAUGCACACAUGUACACACUCCCUUGGAACAUUUUUAUACAAGCAGGAUCACAUUAAAAGAAAUAACCAGGGACGCCUUAAAAUGGAGAAAAAGUCAUGAAAGAACAGGGAGGGGACCGUUCGCCUCUGUGAGAGGGGAGUGUGUGUUUGAUAACGAACGAGGAGCUGGAGGCUUUUCUCAAACUUGCUGGAGACUCAACUCUUCUCCCUUCUCCCAGGAGAAAGGCGUGCCAAAGAGGGCAUGCAGGAGCCCGGAGGCUGCUUUGUAGAGAAGAUGCUGUUUCUGCUCUCAAGGAAAUUGUGUACCAAGCAGGGAGCUAAGAAAGUCCAGUGAAGAGGGACGAGAUAUUCCGCGGCAAUUAAGCCCCAGACCCUGCGUGAGUUCUGCAGCGACAGCCAUCAUAUGUUUUCCACAGCAAGAGGCUGCUUCUGGGUCCCCCAGGUGAAUCCCAGGCUCCCCGUCCACGUGAGUGCACACCAAUAAGGGCUCUCUCUGGGCCUCAGUUUCCCCAUCUACAAAAUGGGGGUAACAAUGGCACCAACCUCUCAGGGUUGGGGUGGAGCUGAAUGCAAUAACACACAUGUCCCCGGCCCACCGCAAAAUCCCUGACGGCAUUAUGCUUGGACAGGUCAAGACGGGUGAAAGGCAGCCUCAUCUUUCCAGUGAAUUCCAUCUGGGAUCUGGGAAUCCAUCUGGGAUCCAUCUGGCUUCGUAAGGAAGACCCAACUUCUAAUGCAGAGUGAUGCUGUUCCUUAAGGAGAAAUGGUUCCCAGCCAUGGUGAGCAGAUCACAGCCAGUGGUGGAUUUCAAGGUCAGCGAGUGUCCUGGCUCUGUCACCUCGACAUCUGGGACAUGUUGAGGCAGAAGCUCAGGAGGGGGGCCGUGCCUGCUGUCCCUCUGGCCCCGUAUGCCCCAUCCCAUUCUCAAGGCUGACUCUUCUCCCCACUGCCACCCCUCCAGGCUGGCACCAGGAGAAACCAGAAGGUUCUCUGAUCUUAAGGGUCUCCUUUAAGAAAAC